rnacentral:rRNA from 1 species
AUUGAACGCUGGCGGUAGGCCUAACACAUGCAAGUCGAACGCGAAAGUCCUUCGGAUGAGUAGAGUGGCGGACGGGUGAGUAACGCGUAGGAAUCUAUCCUGUAGUGGGGGAUAACGUUUCGAAAGGAACGCUAAUACCGCAUACGCCCCAAGGGGGAAAGCGGGGGAUCUUCGGACCUCGUGCUAUAGGAGGAGCCUGCGUCGGAUUAGCUAGUUGGUGAGGUAAAGGCUCACCAAGGCGACGAUCCGUAGCUGGUCUGAGAGGAUGAUCAGCCACACCGGAACUGAGACACGGUCCGGACUCCUACGGGAGGCAGCAGUGGGGAAUAUUGCGCAAUGGGCGAAAGCCUGACGCAGCCAUACCGCGUGUGUGAAGAAGGCCUUCGGUUGUAAGAC